rnacentral:lncRNA from 1 species
GGGGGUAACUAAGUGUUUUAGAUGCAAAUUCGUGGGAUUUUAUCACCCUAAACUUGAAGACUUGUUCCUUGCUGUUUUUAAGUGUUUUUGAGCAGUUUUGAUGUGUUUUAGUGUGUUUUGAAGUAAAAAUCCGAAAAUUACAUAAAAAUUUGAAAAAUUUGUUUUAAAAACCCAAAAAGAGUUGUUUUUGUGUGUUUGUUUGUGUCUUAGGGUACCUUCCAACACAAUGAUGAGGAUUCGGUUUGUAAUUACAUGGCUGUUAAAGAGAGUGAUUCACAUGGAUGAAAGUUUGAUUCACUCUUUGUUAUGCUUAGUUGUGGUUAUAACUUAUGAAUUCACAUGCAAUCAUAAAAGAAAAAAAUCAGUUUUUGUAACAUGCUUGAAGGAAGGAACUCAAACUAACGCUACAACCUUGUGAGACUUGAGCCUAAACGCUUAUUUGGAGAGUUAAAAUCUGUGCAUUCUUUGUUUUCUAAGUCGUUGCAUGAUCUCAUUAUUCCUUGAUUGGUUGCUACUUAGAAGGCGUUUCAUCAUUUAGUUCCAAAUGCUAGAACUCAUGCCCAUUUCAUUCAAAGCAUGUUAUUGAUUUGCAUAACACAUAUUCAAGAUGAAGUUGUGUAGUGACCACCACCUUAGCCAAAAAGCCAUGAAUCCCCUAUGUCAUUAUGUUUUGUAGGUUUUAACCCCGUUGAGCCUUGUUUAGCCUAUGUUGUUGUUAACCCACAUUAUCCUCACCUAGCCUAGUUUAGGACCAUCCAUACCCUUGUUCUUAAAGCAUAGUAAAGCAUGAUUCGAAUUGAAUUCCUUUUGAUCUAUGUUGGCAGAAACCAAGUGUGGGGGAAGUAUUUUUCAUGAGGAAUUGUGUGCCAUAGGCACGGCAAAGAAAAGAAAAAAAAAUUCGUGGAAAAAAGAAAAAAAUGAAGAAAAAAAGUGUGAAAAGUAUGAAAAAACAGUUUGAAAAAAAAAAGAGAAAAAGAGUUCCAAAGUAUUGUUUGUUGAAGUAAGGGUCCAAAACAAUGAAUUCGGCCCUAAGGAGUUGUUUAAGUCUUCCCCUUGUGUUUUAAAGUUAAUUUCUGCAAUCUAAGUGAAUUCUAAGUCUCAAUUUCAUUGCUUUGCUUACUAUUGCUUGAAGAACGUUUGUUUUCCCUAUCCUUUCCUUGUUAACCAACAACCUAAGCCCCAUUACAACCCUUAACUUCUACCUUGAGUGUUAUGUGUUUCAAUUUGUGGAGUUUGAAUUUGGUAUGAGCAUAUGGUGUCACUGGUUCUCGCAUCUAAGUAGUAGCAUUCCAUUCAUGAGAUCAUAUCUAAACAUGCUUCUUAACUCUAGAAAUUGCGUUCUUUGUGAAACAUAUAUGUGAGCAUUCGUUUUCAUAUCUACAUCAAUCUUCUCACAUAUGACUAGUGUAGGGUGUGGAGUUAGAAAAUCUGAGUGAAAAUAGAGUGUAUAUCUUGUAAGGAAUUGAGGGAAUUCUCUAAGGCAUGUUACUACAUUCAAAGCAUUGUUUUAAUUGAUUACUUGUGAACUAGUAAGUGGUGGCUUUAAUUAAGUAUGUGCUUGUGUAAAGAUGACUCAAAUCUGUGGGGAUAGCAAUCUUGAACAUGUCAUGUGCAUUGGAAAUCCCUGAGGCAAACGUUGGAAGGUUUAGGUUUGUUUUGGUUAGUUUGUUUCGUUUCGUUUUCUUUCUUUUGUUUGUUUUGCUCGAGGACUAGCAAAAGCUAAGUGUGGGGGAAUUUGAUAGGAGCAUAUUUAUGCGCCUUAGUUAGCUAGUUCUUAUGCAUCUUUGUUAUGUUUUCUUUGUUAAAGUAGUCUUUUAAGCUACUUUCAUGUGUUUUCAGGUUUAAAGGACAUAUUACAUGAAAUGAUGCAAUUUGGAGCUUUUGGAGCAAAAAGUGAGCUUGGAAUGAAAAGGACAUGCUUGGAACACAAGGUUGGGUUGAAAUUGAAGAGUUCGAGAUUUGAGGUUUCCUACUUGAAGUAGGAAAGCUAAACCUAAAAGUUUCCAUUUUGGGUUGAUCUUUCCUAAAUCGGAAUUGGCAACCAAAGUUUCUAAAGUUGGAAGUUUCUAUUCUUGGAGGUUUCCAAUUUCGAGAGUUUCUAUUCUCGGCUUUGGGCUUUUGGAUGACCCAUCUUUGCCUCUUGGACCUAUGCCGCACCUAACCCUAGUUUUUGGUGGAUUUCCUAACCCUAGCCGCACCUAAACCCUAGCCCAUUUGUCUAAUCUGAUUUCUUUAGGGUUUGGCUGCCUAUAUAUAUAUGUUUUACCUCCCUUGGCCGAAUCACAACCCUCUCCAUAAUCCAGAAAUUAAUCCUUCACGCCAGAAACCAUUCCCCAUCUUCAACAGCACCUAUCCUUCAUCAUUCACCAUAAUUUCUGACCCAAAACCACCCUAGCCGUCCCAUACACCUAUCCUACACACUUUUCCACCAUUCUACACCAUCCAUAACCCCCAAAAACCAUCACAAACCCCUGUGCCGCAACCAAGGAAGAGGAGGAAGGUUCUUAGAUGUUCCUGCUGUGCAAUUUAGAUUGCUGGAAUUUUUAGGUGUGAUCUUUCUUAUGUUUCAAUGUUUCAAUUCAAUAAACUUUGUGUUGUGAGUAUGAGGAACUAAACCCCCUUAGUUGGGGGGUAAUUCGAAACCAUGUACAUGCUUGCAAUUUGAUUCGAUUACAUUCAGUUGUUAUUUCAUAAGUUGUGGAUUCAAUUCGUUCAUCUAUUUGAUUGAUACUUAUUUAUGUAUGUUGAUUGAGAGUGCACGCUUAGUUUUCAUGCAUGAAUAUGAUGCUAGAUUAUGAGGGAGUUUCACCUAAUAGUUACAAUCUUAUAAUCACAAGUAGUGAAGAUUGCUUGUAAACGAUCGCGUUGAAUGAAUUCUUAGCAUAAGUUUCAUGCAAUUCAUAGUAACAAAUGCUUCGUCAAUGCUUAUGUUUUUCAUAGAACGUAAUGAUUCUUGCUUGUAUCUCUAUUAUGCAAUUCAUGUAGGGAACUUGUAGGGAAUGUUUUGGGUUGUCGUAUGCAAUCAUCCAACUUAAUAACUUGUGGAAAAACUGAGGGUUAAUUAGUGCAAUUCACGGCUAAUCUGGGGCGUUGAGUAUUUAUAAUUUAUUGGAAGAACAACUGAAAAUCGUUUUGUUUGCAAGUGUGACAUGUGUGGAGAAGAACCUCCUAACUAGCCUUUUAUCCAUCUAUUUCACCAAAAUCGUUUUUACAAUCUGUGCUAAUUAAAGUUUCUGUUUUGUGUUAAAUUUUCGUCCAAAACAAAUCCCCCUCUCAUUUGAAGUCUUAGAUUAGUUAGAAAGUAUUUUGAUUUGUGUUUCUAAGUAUUUUGAUUCAAGUUUUCAUCAAAUUUCGUCCAAAUUAGUGUAGGUGCUCAAAACUGCCCAGAAAGUGGUUUUUAGGCAGUUUUGAGCCUUCUAGUUGCUGUUUUGAGUUUUAGGUUUGUUUAAGCGUUUUAACCUUUAGUUUUGCAUUCUUUGAGUCUAGUUUAGUGUUUUAAACUUUGUUUUUGAGUUUUUAAGUCAGUUUCCAAGUGUUUAGCAAUCCCUCCUAAUCCCCGGUCUAGAACGAUCCCUACUUACAUCUCUACUACAAUUUGACAAAAGAGGGUUUAAUUUGUGUGCUUAAUAUAUUUCGCAUCAAUAUGCUUCCUUCUAUUCACUGCCUUAUAACCAUCUGCAACUUUCAUCAUCAAUAGGAAUGUUUUGCAUUUGGAUGGAGGAAUUUGAUACAAUGGAUUCGAGUUUGACAAGAGGGCUAAAUUUGGUAUAUAAACUAGAAAACGCUAUUUCGAACGUAUUUGAAAUAAUUAUACGCGAGGAAUAUUAUUUGAAAUCCAUUUGUUUUCUUUCUUUUCCUUAUUUAAAUCUUGGCAAUACACGAACGAAAAUGGUUCAAACCUACAACUUGAGUCACAAAGUUCCUGCCAAAGUAUAUACGAUAAACACAGUAGUGGAUUGGUCUGGUGGUUAGGGUCUUCUCUUCGACCCACUAUGUCCAAGAAGCAAUCUCUCCCCCUCUCCUAGUGUAGAUUAGUGUAGAGUACGGCUUAUAAUAAAAAAUAAAACAAAACAAAAAGCGUAGAUGUGAUAAACAAAGAACCAAUUCUUAUUGAGACAUAGAACCACUUCAUAUAAUAACAGCCCCAAAACUAUUCAUGUCUCUAAUUUAAAGCUUAACAACCACCAAACAAAACAUCACUUGUAAACUCUCAAGGGAAAAGACUCAGCAUCCCCAAUAAAAAGUCCUAGACAAGAAAACAACCUUAAUAUCAACUGACUAAGAUGAACUCAUCAUCAUCGAGAACUUGGACAUCAUUUUCUCCGACAAAAUUCUCCCCCUAAUUUGCUUAACCAAAUUCACAAACUCUACCCUAUUCGCAAGAGGACGAGGUACAUAUGGCAGCCGGAAGACCAGCCUCACAACCCCAAGUUAGGCAAGUGCUGUGUGUUAAGCCGAUGAGAUUUGGCUCUUGGUAAAGCAACUUAAUCAAAGGCAUCCAUCUUUGCAUUUAGGGACAGUGUUUUCCCUCGAACAUGAGUUGUCGCAUUAAACUUGGGAUGCAAUAACCUCAACUUUUUGGGCUAUGUUGCAAAACUUAAACUUUUGAGCUCAUUUUGUAAAAACACAAAAGUCCACUACUUCAUGUAAUUACAACUAGAACCCAAAAAUUUCAACAAAUUUAAAAACUCCAUUAAAGGAACAAAACAAUUUGUCCUUUAAUGAUUUUGGGCCUUUACGUAAAUACGUAAACUUUUGGGUCAAACUACAAAAUACACAAAAGUACCAAAACUUUAUGUAAUUGCAUAAAAGCCCAAAAAACACCCCACUUGUAGGGUGGCCGGUUUUGGAGAGAAGGGAGUGAUGUGUGUGUUGAUUUGUAGUUUUAGACAUAAAGUCAUGCAAGUGGUGCAUGACAUAAAUGUCAUGCAAGUGGUGUGUGUGAAAGGGAAUUAAUCCUUACACACCCACCAAUAUUUCCUUCACCUUUCAAAAUAAAUAUCUAACACAUUUAAAUAUUUGAAAAGCACAAAACAAAAAACUUUAUGAAAUAAAUCAAAACACCAAACUUUUUGAUCUUGGCUAAAAUAUCAAGAACAAUGAAGAACAUUCAUGAAAAACUCAAAAAAUCUCCAUGAACAUUUUUCACCCAAAGACAUCCCAAAACCACUCAAACUUAAGGGAAAUAACAUAUAACCAAACUAGGGUACAUAGGGGUUCCAAAAGUUACUUGAAAACACUUUUAACAAGUCAAACAAGAACCCAAAAUCCACCCUUUGGAUUUGGCCGAAUUUUCCCAAAAACAUGGCACCAAAUUUUAGCUCCAAUAUUCAUGCUCAUAUGAACUACAUCUACAACAUUUGAGAUGGCAAAUUUUGUAACAAAAUUUACAUUCAAAGAAGCAAGAAUAAAGCUUGUAACAUAUUACAACAUUUAAAUCAAAGACUAUGAACUACAAAACCCAAAAGGAUUCACCAACUACUAGACCUAGGCUCUGAUACCACUUGAAGGAAAUUUUGUGAAAAACAUGUUCAUUUAAGCAACAUCUAUAGCAUGCAAUUAACAAAUUAAAGGUGGAAUCAUGCUUGUAUGCACUUAAAAACAAAACAUUAACCAUGAAAUUCAAAGCCUAGUAGUUGGGUGAACCAAGACUCAACUCAAAACAAAGUGAGUUGAGAAAUUAUACCGUUGUUGAUUCCUCUUUGCAUAAGCAAAGGAUAAUCACCCAAGAGAUAAGGCCUUCAUUCAUUGCUUCUUAGAUCCAUGGAUUUGGAUGGAAGAAUAGGUUUCUCCAAGUUCCCAAAAUUGAGAACCUCUAAGUCUCCACACCAAGGUAAGAUGUGAAGAAGAGAUGAGUGACCUUGGAGGAGAAAGAUUACUAGCUAAUCCCUCCAAGGGUGGCCGGCCUCUUUAAAGAGAAAGGAGAGCUUUGUGUUCUCAUCCUUUCCCCAAAAGAAAACCCUAAAUGAAUUUUGGCUAUAAAGUCAUAUUUAUACCUACAUUCAUUUGAGUGGCAAACUUGUAAUUAAGUCCAAAACCCACUCCUUUAACUAAAUGGCCGGCCAUAGGGAUUCAUUGGGCUUUUCAGGCCUUUGUGAAUUAUUUGUCAUUAAGUUGUCAUACAACUUAGGUCAAUGGGCUUGACGUUCGAAGCCCAUUGGGCCUUGAGGCCCAAAACUAACCCAUGGUCUUUUAACGAACUUUAUUCGUUUGAUUAAUUAACAUAUUAAUUAAUCCUUGCCAUAAAUAAUUAAACCAUUUAAUUAUCCUUACUCAUCUCCGUUGUUUCUUCAAUCUCUGCCUCACACGGUGUACGAUCCAUUAGGUUCCUUUUAGCUAGGCAGUGGGUGAUUAGAACUUUUUCAAAUCGAUUGUGAAUUGAAACUUACUUUCAAUUCUCCCUUUAGUGAUUAUACACGUUUGGGGCUUCCACAAACCAUGAGUGACACCUAGCAGUAUGUCAUGGUUACCCAAGCUAAUCAGAAGAGGUGGAGAACCUAUUCAGUUUAGGAUUACAAUGCAAUACGGUCUUUCUCUAAUACAAUACUCUUGACCACAUUGUUUGGUUUAAUAGUUUAUUCAUGUCUACUAUCCAAUGUGAUUCAUUUACUUAUAUGAUUACCUUGAAUGUGAUUUGGAAUGACUUCCUAAAUCUCAUUCAUACUCUGGCCAGAGAUUCUUAAUCAUAUCAUAGAGUAUUCUCCCUCAAACAGUUUGAAGGUUAGAGAUCCCUUGUUGCGCAUUCACUUGCCUCCAUGGCUAAGUGGCUUAACCCCAACUAUGCCGUGGACACCCUCGAAUGGAGUGACUUUGACAUAAUCAAAGAUCAAGGACUUAACCACAACACAACUAUGAUGCCUCAGGUCAAAGGACUACUUUGCAUUAUCCCAACCAUGAGUUCUCAUGUGACAUGAGUAUGAGAACUCCUUGUUGAUCGUGUUCAGUGGACUCAUUCGUUAUUGAGCACCUACAUGCUUGUCUUGAUGUCAAUCACACCAAUGACUCGAGACCAGUCACUCUCCAUGAGAGAAGACACAACACGUACUGAUCUUAACGGACUGUCAAUGCCCAAUUGGCAAUCCUAUGAUCAGGAACGUUUAGGAUAUGUAUAAGAAAGAGAAUGGUCUCAUAAAUCUAACUUGUUUAAAUUACAUUCUCCUAAUUACAUAUUCCUUGGACUUACCGUUUAAGCAUAUAACAUUUAUAUGAGACGGCUUAAACAAUAAUCUUUGCCCUUGAUAUUAAACUAGAUUAGUUUAACAUGUGAAAUGUCCGUAAAGUAUCAUCAUAUGAUUGGUUUUAGGGCACAUUUCCAACAGUUACUACAUUCAAAACAUCGUUUUAAUUGGUUAAUUGUGAACUAGUAAGUGGUGACUGUGAUUAAGUAUGUGCUCAAGUGUAAAGAUGACCAAAAUCUAUGGGAAUGAUGAUUUUUAACAUGUCAUGUUUCAUUAAAAAUCCCUGAGGCAAAUGUUGGAAGGUCUAGGUUGUGUUUUGUUUGUUUCGUUUGUUUGUUUUGCUCGAGGACUAGCAAAAGCUAAGUGUGGGGGAAUUUGAUAGGAGCAUAUUUAUGCGACUGAGUUAGCUUGUUCUCAUGCAUUUAUGUUUUUAUUUCUUAGUUAAUUAUGUAUUUUAAGCUAUAUUCAUGUGUUUGUAGGUCCAUAGGCCUUAUGAAGCAAUAAGAUGCAUUUUGGUGCAUUUUGGAGCACUUUUGGGCUUGGAAUGAAUAGCACAUGCAUGGAGCAAGGUGGAUGGACGAAAUUGAAGACUAAAAAGGCUAGGAAUGUGUUAAAGAGAAAGAAGAAUUAAUGUAAAAAGGACAAAGAGCUUAGCCACAAAGGGGUGUCACUCCACCAUUCACCUUUCCAUCAUUGUCGUGCACCACCAUUGCACUCCCUUUGGAUUCCUAUGCCGUGCAUCAUCAUCCAUGUUCCCUCCAUUGACUCAUGUGUUGCAUCAUUCCACCUCCCUUUCCUUUCUCUACCAUGUGCACAAUCAUUCAUGUUCCCUAACUGCAACAUCACUCCAUUUUACCCCCAUGCUUUACAUUAUCACUUCACUUUCACCUUUGAAUCAUUUCAAACACCACUCAUUGCACUUAAUUGCUACACCAUUCCUUGUUCCCUCCAUCAUUUUAGAUUUCAUGCAUCAUUAGAUUGAAUCAUUGCACUCAAUUGCUACACCAUUCCUUGUUCCCUCCAUCAUUUCAUAUUUCAUGCAUCAUUGCACUCAAUCGCUACACCACUCCAUGUUCCCCUCCAUUGCCCUGCACUUCCUCUAUAAAAGGAAGUGUGUGUAACAUAAAUUUAGUUCAUACUUGGUUAGAUCAUUCACUCCCAUUUCAACACAACCUUCAUCCAAACACAUCCAUUCAUCUUCACAUCCAUUCCUCCAUACAAACAAACCUUCAAACACUCACCAACACCUUGUGUCGUAGCAAAGGAAGGGAAGGAAAGUGCUUGGACGUGCUUGAUGUCCAACUUGGAUCGUUGGAGCAUUUAGGUGUUUUCUUUCUUUUGUUUCUAAUGUUUAAAUUCAUUUCCUUUCGUUUUGUUGUAAAUAUGAGUGGCUAAACCCCUCUUGGCUAGGGGUGAUUUCAAAGCCAUGAUUAUGUGUGCAAUAUAAUUUGAUAAAUUCCAGUUAUGAACUCUUGAAUCGUGAAUGCAAUUGGCUUAACUAUUUGAUUGAUAACUUAUUUGUAUUUGUUAAUUAAGGGUCGACACUUAAUUGGCAUGCAUAAAUCCGUUGCUAGAAUAUAAGGAAGUUUCACAUAAUCGUUACAAACUUAUAUUCACAUGUAGUGAAGGUCGCUUAUAAACGAUCGCGUUAAGUUCAAUUCCUAGCAUGAGUGACAUGAUGUCAUAGUUGCAAGUGCUUUGUCAAUGCUUAUGAUUUUCAUUAAACGUAAUGAUCUUUUAUUGUAUCUCUAUUAUGAUGUCAUGUAGGGAACUUUAGAGAAUGUUUUGGGUUGUCGAAUGAUGUCAUCCAAUCCAAUAAAACAAGGAAAAUCUGAGAGUUAACUAGUGAUGUCACGGUUAAUUUGGAGCAUUGUCAUUCAUAAUUGAAUGAAGUAGUAACUGGAAAUCGAGUUAUUUGCAUACAUGUCAUGUGCGGAGAAAAAGCCUCUGGCUAUCCCAUCCAUCAUCUUAUUUCUCAAAUUUGUUUUACAAUCUGUCUAGUUUUUCAUACUUGUUUGUUUGUUUCAACUUCGUCCAAAACUCAAUCUCCCUUUACUUUAGUGUGUCUAAUUAGUUAGAAUAUGUUUUAAUUUGUGUUUUUAAGUGUUUUGAUUCAAGUAAAAGUCAAUUUUCAUCCAAAGUCAUUCCUAUUGUCUAGUUUAAGUUUAUUUAGUUGUUCUAAGCUGUUUUGAGUAUUUUAAGUUUGCUUUGAGUCUUGUGAAUCUUGUUAAGUAUUUUUUAUGUUUAGUUUUAUGUUUUUGAGUCAGUUUAGAGGUUAUUAGCAAGCCCUCAUAGUCCCCGGUCCAGAACAAUCCCUACUUAUACUUAUACUACAGUUGUCAAAAGAGGGUUAAAUUUGUGUGUUAAGAUAAUUUUCGCAUCAGUGGUCAAAUCUAAGCGUCGCCAAACACAUCUGGAAGAUCUUCACCGAAUUUUUCUUUGCAUACACCAAUAUAAGCUUAAAAUGAAUCUUGCUAAGUGUGCUUUUGGUGUAUCUACGGGAAAUUCUUUGGGUUUCCUGGUGCAUCACCAAGGCAUAGAGGUUGAUAAAAACAAGGCUCGUGUAAUUAUUGACGCUCCACCCCCAACGACAAAGAAACAGUUGCAAUCAUUGCUAGGAAAAAUCAACUUCCUUCGCCGAUCUAUUUUAAUUCAGCGGGGAAGAUGAAAGAUUUCUCCACACUCCUAAAGCUGAAGGACUUCGACCGUUUUGAAUGGUGAAACAAAAAUGAAGACGUUUUUAUCCAAAUUAAGGUAUCUCUUACUAGUCCUCCAGUACUUAUGCCCCCACUAUGUGGAAAACCACUCUAACUUUAUAUCUCGACUGCUGAAGAAUCCAUUGGUUAUCUUUUGGCAUAAGACAAUGACAAUAACCAAGAACAGGCCAUUUUUUACCUCAGUCGAGAUAAAUUAUUCAGCCAUUGAAAAGCUUUGCCUUGCUCUAAUUUUUGCCUUGUCUAAACUUAGACAUUAUAUGCUUCCCUUGGUCACUCAGGUCAUUGCUCAAACAGACGUCAUUUGUUAUAUGCUUACUCAGCCAAUUUUUAAAGGCCGAAUCGGAAAAUGGACAAUGGCCUUAUCUGAGUUUUGUUUACAAUAUAUACCUCAAAAGACUGUCAAAGCAAAAGCUCUAGUCGACUUCCUCGCCCAACAUCUUUCUCCGUACAGAUUUAGGGGCUACUAUGUCGAAAUCGGCAUGGAGCCGUAUAAUACCUUCAGUUUGGAUAAACAACAUUGUAUUGGCAACUGGCAACAUCUUCAGUUUAUAUAAACAAGACUGGAGCAGUAGAAUUAGUUGACUGAGGAGUAUCUUCAGUUUGGAUAAAUAGCAUUGCUUCGCGACCGACUAGUUAUCUAUCCAAGUCUCAGUCAGCAAGGAUUUCCUAAGUCCUUGUUGAAAAAGGUUAUCUUAUUAGCCUUCUCGACAAAGUAAAGUGUUACCAGGUUAGACGUUCAACACAUAGAAAGCCAAACGUAUUUUAUGAUUGGAUAUUCAUAAGUACAUUUUAGAGUUCGGCACUCAGACGAUCGAACAAAAUUUACAAUCAAGACACACAUCUUUUUUAUGUACUUGUGUCCCUACAAUUUGAUACUAAUUCGGAUCACUUAUAUUCUCACGAAUAUAAUUACUGUUGCCAACCCGGUGCCAACGAUUCGUGAACUUCAUAGGCUCUAGAACUCAAAGGCCAGGACGUGUUUCUUCCUCGGUCGCAAUCACAAGAUUCAGAUGUCAUUAGCGCGCCCAAUGCCACAUCAACACUCAUUCACUCCCCAACCAAGCUCGAUCGACGAGUUGGCACGCCCCGCAUUUAACCAAAGGACGUGGUUAGCUCAUUAGUUACUCAACCUACGCGCCACGUAGGCUAAGUAGGUUUUUGGGACAACAAGCAUAUAUUAUGGAAAAAUGUAAUGUUAAGGAGACUAAAUUUGUAGAUAAAAUUAUGAAAACAAAAUGACAUGUAAGUUGGUAAUUAGAUUAUUACUUAAAUGUGAUAAACGUGUUCCUAUUGAUGACACAUCAUUUAAUUUGCAAAUUUAGUCUUUCUAUUAUUACUCUAUGGAAAUGCUAAGAAGACUCUCUUAAAAGUGAAACUCUUCAUGGACUCUCUUAAAAGUGAGACUCUUCAUGGACUCUCCAUCACCUAAUGUUUUUAACAUAAUUCUUAUACCAAUAUUAUAAAAUAUUAUACCAAAAACAUGAUAUUGUGAAGAGCAUUUGAGAAGUGUCUCACUUUGAAUCUCAUACGCACUUGAAGCUGGCAGCACUACGUCUGCAUCUGCAUGUGAGUCUUUGAGCCCGUAAUUUACUGGAAGAAGUAGGGGUGGAAUUGUCAUUCAGAAAGGUGUCAUGGGAAACUGGAGUGGGGCCAAUCGACGGCAAUUGAGGUCAGAUAGGCCUGGCAAACGAGUCGUGUUAGUCGUGUUUGUGUCGUUUUCGUGUAACACCUAUUAUCUUAACGGGUCGUGUCGUGUCACACCUAUUAUCUUAACGGGUCCUUAACAGGUCAGGUCACUUUACCCAACGGGUAAAGUGACCCGACCCAUUAUGACCCGUUAAGAAAAAAAAAAUUUCUUAAAUUUGCACAUACCACACAUUGUCACAUAAAUAUUACUUCAAAACAUUAAAACACAUUUUUGUCCUUUAAGUACUUCAUCUACACUCGAAAAUAAGAGCCUUAUAAAAAAAACAUCCAUACACUACUAAUCUAUUACAAAUAUUAAAUGUGCAAGGAUAUGCAAAAUGAAAGCGUUUUUGUUUUCAAGGUUGUGAAGCCUUUCUCAAAAGUUUAAACCUUGCCAAUGGAACUCAAAGCUUAAUGAAAGUGACCCACCGGUGUGUCUAUUCGUACUUUCAUUAAGUAUAACAUAAGAUUUUGUGGUAUCCACUAGUGUAAAUAUUUUAAAUUGAAGAUCGAAUUCAUUCAUUGUAUUCAUAUAGGGUCAAGGAGUGUAGUUGUAAAAAUCAUCGAAAUCGGAGUUAAAAUAACCGUUAAAUUGUGAUUUUUCGUUUAUAACCGUCGAAAAGUUUUGUCCUGUUACUUAAUCUUUAAAUGUUUGUUUUUUGCAAUUUUUAGCGUAUGCGAUCUCGAAGCAUAUACAAACAAGUAUGACGGUUAGAUCAUUGAAACUAGUUUCGUAUAAUGCGUAUCCCAUCAAAACAAUAGAUUCACUAACACUUUAGAGUUUAUUCUUACUUUCAUUAAGUAAAACAUAAGAUUUUGUGGUAUCCACUAGUGUAAAUAUUUUAAAUUGAAGAUCGAAUUCAUUCAUUGUAUUCAUAUAGGAUCAAGGAGUGUAGUUGUAAAAAAUCAUCAAAAUCGAAGUUAAAAUAACCGUUAUUGUGAUUUUUUGUUUAUAACCGUCGAAAAGUUUUGUCUCAUUACUUGAUCUCUGAAUGUUUGUUUUUUGCAAUUUUUGGCAUAUGCAAUCUCGAAGUAUAUACAAACAUGUUUGACGGUUGGAUUGUUAAAACUAGUUUCGUAGAAUACGUAUCUCAUCAAAACAAUAGAUUCACUAACACUUAAAGAGUUUAUUCAUACUUUCAUCAAGUAUAACAUAAGAUUUUGUGGUAUCCACUAGUAUAAAUAUUUUAAAUUGAAGAUCGAAUUCAUUCACUGUAUUUAUAUAGGGUCAAGGAGUGUAGCUGUAAAAAAUCAUCAAAAUUGGAGUUAAAAUAACCGUUAAAUCAUUCGUUUAUAACCGUCGAAACGUUUUGUCCCAUUACUUGAUCUCUGAAUGUUUGUUUUUUGCAAUUUUUGGCAGAUGUGAUCUUGAAGCAUAUACAAACAAGUUUGACUGUUGCAUCGUUGAAACUAGUUUCGCAAAAUGCGUAUCUCAUCAAAACAAUAUAUUCACUAACACUUAAGAGUUUAUUAAUAUGGACAUUGGGAAUAGUAUAUGGAAGCACAUAAAGUAAAUAACUUCAAAACUCUUAUGUGUGGGAAGUUUUCUAGAAGUGUCAUUAGAUAUGUUAGAGCCUCGGGCCUAAGUAUCAGGACAUGAGUAUGUGCGGACUUUAAGCCUAUUCCAAAACUUAAGGAGGACAUACCCAAACAAGUGUAAAGUCCCAGCCGAGGUUGGAGGGUCUAUUCGUAGGUUCAUACAACCCAGCCAAUACUAAGAGUGUGAUUCGGUAGGAUCCAAUCGAAGCUGGACAUCCUGGUUUAGUGCAUCUCUUUCGAAGCAUAGCAUGAAUUUCUGUAGAUCCCAGUCGAAGCUGGGUGAGUCUCUACGAUAGACUCUAGCUGAAUCUGGGUCUUUAUGAUCCGGUAUCACCCAUAUGAAUCUGUGUGUUUGUGUUAGUAUUUGAACUUUGGACUUAAAGGAAUGGAAGCCCAAAAGAGCUAAAGUGAAGAAACUCGCCCGAGGCCCAGCACCAAGCCUAGCCAUUCAUCUCAAGAUAAUAUGGCGACUCCUUAUUAAUGAAAGGGUUUAUGCUUACAAGGGAAGUGACAACCGAUGGAAAUCAGCCUACUCUCAACCCAACAGCACUUUCUAAUGGCAAAACAUGUAAAAAAGAUGAUGACUCACUGAAGUGCUUUCGAGCAGCCAAGAUAAAAUGUCUAUAAAAGGAUGAAGAGGCCCUAGAGACAAGACACUCAACCAAUCAAUCAAACAAACAUACAAACUCUGGUCUCAAGCCAGAUUUGCGUCUAAAAGCUGUAAACAGCCUAGAUCUCAAUCCUUUUCAAGAUAACUCCUUACAAAGCCAUCUUUUGUCUAGUUUAAAGCUCUGUGAUCACCCCUAAUGGCGUAGUAUCGAUUCUCUCAUGCAAACUUGUUUACCAUCCAUCCCUUUUAAACACAACCCUCUGUAAUUACAAAGAAAAGAGACUGUAAGACGUUCGACCUUGCCCGACAAGGUGAAAUCUUGCCCGACUCUCUUUGUUUCGUCUUUCAAUUAGUAGAUCUGGUAUUAUGAUGUACUCUUUAGUAUAUAUUCAAGUUAUUUCUAGUUAUUUGGUGAUCAAAAGUUCCAUUGGUCCUCAAAUCUGGUUCACUUAGUGGUUUUACUAUCAUAAAAGCCAAAAUAGGGAUCAAACUGAUGACUUAGUCAGAUUUGGAUAUCCACCCUUUAAAGCAUACAAGAUAAUGAACUAAAAGUCCUUGAUCUCAAGGCACAGAAAAGAACUUAAUGUAGACAUAGCUCAUUUACGACAAUCCUUUGAUAACAAGAAGUCAAAAUAACUUGUGGUGCAAGUAAUCGAGUUAAACACACUUGUUCUACAUCUGCCAUACUGAGAUGGUAGUGGCACGCCUAAGCACUUAGUUAGUGUUGAUUACAAGCCUUAAGGCCUACACCUAAGGUCCAGUAAAGGCACCUUUCAGAACUAACUCUGUUCUUCUCUUGUAGCUUCUCAACAAGCAGAAGCCCGAUAAUCAACCAAAGUGCCAACUCAUCGAGGAGUUGUGUGCUCGUGCCAGAGAUCCUCCCUAGCGAAAUUCCUGCCCGAACAUAGUUUUGGCACGCUCGGUGGGAUCACAAGUCUUGUAUGUCAAGAAAAUGAAGGAAAAAACAAACCUUCAGGUGGAAAACAAAGCAAAAACCACCCAAGUGUUUACCAACGUAAAAAAUGACGGAUCAUCUAGAGAAUAUUUCCCCUCACAAGGACCAACUACUCUGAAAAAUCCGACUUCGUUUGAGAAAUCAAGAGGAAUGGUGACCAACGAAGAUUUGCAGGCCAUGGAUAAAAGUACUAAGAAGCAUGGAGAAAAUCUCUCUAGACAUUAGAGGGGAAGUAAGCAGACUCUGUUCUGUAACAGGAAAUCUAUAAAGAAGGCUAGAUCUGGAGUACUAUACCCUAGAAAAUUGUACUAGAGAGAUGAUGAGUGAAGCAAGUCCUGUGAUUGAACCAGUUAUUCCUCUGUUUCCUAUACUUGAGGAAAAAGGGGAAUAAAGGAAAAAACAAGGAAGAAUUUGGAGCCAGUGAGCCAGUGUUGGAAGAGAUCCUAGAAGCGGAGUUGCCUGAGCCCUUACUAUUUCCACUUAAUAGUAGAGGCCAAUGCUGGCAAGAUAAAAAGAAGUAUGGGAUGCCCCAGUUGACCGGGGAAUCCAGUGGAAAAGGCGGGCUCUACUAAGCCAGACAAACCUCUUCGUUCUAAGCCUUCACCAUUGGUCAGUAAAGGAGGGGAUGCUAAGUGGAGAAAGCCCGAACCGAGAAAGGAGAUUAACUUGGGCAACGAUUGUAGCCCGAAGUGGGAACUUCCUUAUACCUCGCCUAAUAAUACAGCCAAUUACCCACUCAGAGAUGAGUUGGAUGAGUUGAGAAGGAUGGUGGUAAGAAAUGCUCAGCCACAAGCUCACCUGCUGUUUAGGGUCACCUAUCAGAAGCCCUACCCGGAGUUCGUUAAUGAGCAGAAUCCAUUUCCUCUUAACUUCAAAAUGCCCGCAUUCCCAACAUUCAACAGAGAAGAUAAUAAUGUGUCCUCUAGUGAUCACAUCUUCAAAUUCUCCAACCAAUGUGUAGCAUUUAAAGAUAACCCUAACUACAAGUUGAGACUGUUUGAAAACUCCUUGAUGGGCUUAACAUCUCAAUGGUACUUGAUAGGAGCAUAUUUAUGCGCCUUAGUUAGCUAGUUCUUAUGCAUCUUUGUUAUGUUUUCUUCGUUAAAGUAGUCUUUUAAGCUACUUUCAUGUGUUUUCAGGUUUAAAGGACAUAUUACAUGAAAUGAUGCAAGUUGGAGCUUUUGGAGCAAAAUGUGAGCUUGAAUUGAAAAGGACAUGCUUGGAACACAAGGAUGGGAUGGAAUUGAAGAGUUGAAGAUUUGAGGUUUCCUACUUGAAGUAGGAAAGCUAAGCCUAAAAGUUUCCAUUUUGGGUUGAUCUUUCCUAAAUCGGAAUUGGCAACCAAAGUUUCUAAAGUUGGAAGUUUCUAUUCUUGGAGGUUUCCAUUUUCGUGAGUUUCUAUUCUCGGCUUUGGGCUUUUGGAUGACCCAUCCUCACUUCUUGGACCUAUGCCGCACCUUAACCCUAAUCCUAGCCCAUUUAAUCAGCCACACCCUAGGGCCUAAUCAUUUAAAUUCUGCCAAGUUAAACCCUAAUCUAUCUACCCUAAGCCCAAGCCGCACCCUAGGCCUUUUCCCAUGCAAAAAUCUGAUUGUAAACCCUAAUUCCUUGUGGAUUUUCUAACCCUAGCCGCACCUAAACCCUAGCCCAUUGUCUAACCUGAUUUCUUUAGGGUUUUAGGUGCCUAUAUAUAUGUGUUUUACAUCCUUUGGCCGAACAUCACCCUCUCCAUUUCAGAAAUUCGUCCAGCCACUUCCCACUCUGUGCCGCAGCCAUUCUACAACUCCAGCCACCAUUCUACACUUCCAUACACCAUUCUACACCUCCAUACACCACCCAUACCCCUUGCCGCACCACCAUACCAUCCUAACUCCCUUCUAAAACCAAAAUCACAUCCAAAAACACCCUAAACCCUCUCUGCCGCAGCAAGGAGAAGAAGAAAGAGGAGCUUGAAGUCAGAAAUUCAAAGUGGAAUUCGUGGGCGUUUUAGGUGUAAUCUUUCUUAUGUCUUCGAUGUUUCAAUUCAAUAAACUUUGUGUUGUGAGUAUGAGGAACUAAACCCCCUUGGUUGGGGGGUAAUUCGAAACCAUGUACAUGCUUGCAAUUUGAUUCGAUUACAUUCAGUUGUUAUUUCAUAAGUUGUGGAUUCAAUUCGUUCAUCUAUUUGAUUGAUAACUUAUUUGUGUAUGUUGAUUGAGAGUGCACGCUUAGUUUUCAUGCAUGAAUAUGAUGCUAGAUUAUGAGGGAGUUUCACCUAAUAGUUACAAUCUUAUAAUCACAAGUAGUGAAGAUCGCUUGAAAACGAUCGCGUUGAAUGAAUUCUUAGCAUAAGUUUCAUGCAAUUCAUAGUAACAAAAUGCUUCGUCAAUGCUUAUGUUUUUCAUAGAACGUAAUGAUUCUUGCUUGUAUCUCUAUUAUGCAAUUCAUGUAGGGAACUUGUAGGGAAUGUUUUGGGUUUGUCGUAUGCAAUCAUCCAACUUAAUAACUUGUGGAAAAACUGAGGGUUAAUUAGUGCAAUUCACGGUUAAUUUUGGGGCGUUGAGUAUUCAUAAUUUAUUGGAAGAACAACUGAAAAUCGUUUUGUUUGCAAGUGUGACAUGUGUGGAGAAGAACCUCCUAACUAGCCUUUUAUCCAUCUAUUUCACCAAAAUCGUUUUUACAAUCUGUGCUUAGUUAAAGUUUCUGUUUUGUGUUUCAAAUUUUCGUCCAAAACAAAUCCCCCUUUAUUUUGAAGUCUUAGAUUAGUUAGAAAGUGUUUUGAUUUGUGUUUCUAAGUAUUUUGAUUCAAGUUUUCAUCAAAUUUCGUCCAAAUUAGUGUAGGUGCUCAAAACUGCCCAGAAAGUGGUUUUUAAGGCAGUUUUGAGCCUUCUAGUUGCUGUUUUGGUUUUUAGGUUUGUUUAAGUGUUUUAACUUUUAGUUUUGCAUUCUUUGAGUCUAGUUUAGUGUUUUAAACUUUGUUUUUGAGUUUUAAGUCAGUUUUCCAAGUGUUUAGCAAUCCCUCCUAAUCCCCGGUCUAGAACGAUCCCUACUUACAUCUUUACUACAAUUUGACAAAAAGAGGGUUUAAUUUGUGUGCUUAUCUAUUUCGCAUCAAAUUUUUGGCGCCGUUGCCGGGGAUUAGCAAUUUUGCUAAUCCCUUGGAUUGUUUUUGUUUCUUUUAUUUCACUUUGUUUCUGACUUUGUUUAAGUUUCUGACCUAAUUUUGUUUCUUGUUUCUUAGGUACUAAUGUAUGACUAGAAGCUCUCAACCGAUUCGUACAAACAUCUUGGAUUUUGACGACGAUUUUGAGAGGAAGUUAAGAAGAGCUAGAAACCAGCAAGAGCAUCAUCCACCCAGUUCCGAAUCUGACCUUGAAGAAAACGUACAAGAAGAGGAGGAGGAAGCCACGGCAGGGAUAUUUGAAGAAGUCCAAGGCAUGGCCAUGGACAAUCGUACACUCAAGGAGCUUUCCGCCUCGGGUUUGGAUAAUGCCGCACCCUUGUGCAUUCAAUACCCCAUGGCUGCCCAAGGUAAGACAGAUGAGUUUGAAUUAAAGUCAAGUUUGCUUCAUCAUAUUCCUAAAUACCAUGGCUUGUCCAUGGAAGAUCCUAACAAACAUUUGAAAGAAUUUGAAGUAGUUUGCUCUAGUAUGACUCCCGUUAAUGUUGACGGAAAUAUCUUGAAGAUGAAGGCUUUUCCAUUCUCUUUGAUGGAUAAAGCCAAGGAUUGGUUAUAUGAGUUAGCUCCCGGCACUGUCACUUCUUGGGAGAGUAUGAAGAGAGCGUUCUUGGAGAAGUUCUUUCCAACUUCUCGCAUCAUCCUCCUACGCAAAAAGAUAAGCGGAAUUCAGCAAGAAGAAGGUGAGUCUUUUCCUACAUAUUAUGAACGAUUUAAAUCACUUGUUGCUUCUUGUCCACAGCAUCAGAUGAAGGAGGAGUUGCUUUUGCAAUAUUUCUACGAGGGCCUCCUACCUCUAGAACGUCAAAUGCUUGAUGCUUCGGCGGGGGGAGCAUUGGUGGAUAAAACACCCAUGGCUGCCAAGGUCUUGAUUGCUAAUAGAGCGUUGAACGCUCAACAGUACGAGGGUGUAGGCCAAAGAGGACCCUCACGGCACCAAGUACAUGAGGUAAGUACAACUUCCGAUCUUCAUUCACAAUUGGCUAAUCUUACUUCUCUUGUGUCUCAGAUGGCCGAGGGAAUGAAGAUGCAAGGACCAAUUGUAUGUGGCGUAUGUUCCAUCCAAGGACAUGUCUCUGAAAAAUGUCCACAGUUGAUUGAAAAUGGUGGAUGGGAAAGCGCCCAUGCAAUUGGGUUUCAAGGGCAAAACCAACCAAGGAACGAUCCAUAUUCAAACACAUAUAAUCCCGGUUGGAGAGACCACCCAAAUUUCAAGUGGAGGGAUUCCCAACAACCUCAAAACCAAGGAGGCUUUUAGGCAACAACCCCCGGGGUUCUUUCCCAAAACCUACGGCCCACCCCAAAAUCAAGCCCAAUCCGGCCCAAGUGCCUUCAGGUACGUCUCUUGACAAUGAUGCACUUCUUAAGAUACUAACUAAGUUGUCUAAUGGGCAGGAAGAUCAAGCUAGAGCUAUGCAAAACCAAGACAAAAGGGUGGAUCAACUUGAGAAACAAAUUGGGCAGAUUGCCGAGUUUGUAGGUAAGUUUCGAGAUCCCGGACAACUCCCUAGUUCCACCAUUCCAAAUCCGAAGGGAGGUUUCGAAAGUGCAAAAGCAAUCAUGCUAAGAAGUGGAAAAGAGAUUGGGGCAGGUUCUACACAAAAAACAGGUCCCCAAAGGAUGUAAAUGUUGCAAAUUGAAGAGGAGGAAUCAAGCAUGCCCACGGCAAAGGUGGUUCCAUCCUUUGCCGCAAGCUUCCUAAUGUCCCCCAAUCUGUCCCAAAUCGGCCAAUAAAGGUAAGAAUGUGUCAAAUUCGGUUCCUACUAAUGUUUUCCUUUGAAUGUCCCCUUUUCCUAGCAGAUUUUUGCAAUCAAAGAAGAAAGAAGAGGAGGAAAAAGAUGUUCCUAGAGAACAUUUAGGAAAGGUGCAAGUCAACAUUCCCCUCCUUGAGAUGCCAAUCAAGCAAGUAAAUCCCGAAGUAUGCCAAGUUUUAAAGAAGCUUGUGUACCACCAAGAAAGGUGUCCGGGAUAAAGGAAGUGGUACAAGGUAAGGUGAGAAUGUGUCCGCCAUCUUGCAACGCAAAUACUACCCCCCAAAUGCAAAGAUCCGGGGUAGUUUUACAAUUCCUUGUGUCAUUGGUAAUACCCGAUUUGCAAAUCUGCCAUGCUAGAUUUAGGUGCAUUCUAUUAAUGUUAUGCCAUAUUCUGUUUAUGCAUCUAUGAAUCUAGGAGCACUUAAAAAUGAUGGUGUAAUCAUACAAUUGGCCGAUAGAUCUAACGCCUAUCCAAAGGGAGUUUUGGAAGACGUCUUGUGCAGGUUAUCUUUAGUCUUCCCGCGGAUUUCUAAAAUGGAUGAAUCGGAGCGAAGAUGUAAGUAGGGGAUCUUCUAGACACACAAAUUAAACCCUCUUUUUGUCAAAUUGUAGCAAAGAUGUAAGUAGGGAUCGUUCUAGAACCGGGGAUUAGGAGGGAUUGCUAAACACUUGGAAAACUGACUUAAAAACUCAAAAACAAAGUUUAAAAACACUAAACUAGACUCAAAGAAUGCAAAACUAAAAGGUUAAAACACUUAAACAAACCUAAAACUCUCAAAACAGCAACUAAAGGCUCAAAACUGCCUUAAAAACCACUUUCUGGGCAGUUUUGAGCACCUACACUAAUUUGGACGAAAAUUUGGAUGAAAACUUGAAUCAAAACACUUAGAAACACACAAAUCAAAACACUUUCUAACUAAUCUAAGACUUCAAAAUAAAGGGGGGAUUUGUUUUGGACGAAAAUUGAAAAACAAAACAGAAACUUUAAAACUAAAACAGAUUGUAAAACGAUUUUUGGUGAAAUAGGAUGGAUAAAAAGGCUAGUUAGGAGGUUCUUCUCCACACAUGUCACACUUGCAAACAAAACGAUUUUCAGUUGUUCUUCCAAUAAAUUAUGAAUACUCAACGCCCCAAGUUAACCGUGAAUUGCACUAAUUAACCCUCAGUUUUUCCACAAGUUUAUUAAAGUUGGAUGAUUGCAUACGACAACCCAAAACAUUCCCUACAAGUUCCCUACAUGAAUUGCAUAAUAGAGAUACAAGCAAGAAUCAUUACGUUCUAUGAAAAACAUAAGCAUUGACGAAGCAUUUGUUACUAUGAAUUGCAUGAAACUUAUGCUAAGAAUUCAUUCAACGCGAUCGUUUUCAAGCGAUCCUUCACUACUUGUGAUUAUAAGAUUGUAACUAUUAGGUGAAACUCCCUCAUAAUCUAGCAUCAUAUUCAUGCAUGAAAACUAAGCGUGCACUCUCAAUCAACAUACACAAAUAAGUUAUCAAUCAAAUAGAUGAACGAAUUGAAUCCACAACUUAUGAAAUAACAACUGAAUGUAAUCAAAUCAUAUUGCAAGCAUGUACAUGGUUUCGAAUCACCCCCCCAACUAAGGGGGUUUAGUUCCUCAUACUCACAACACAAAAGUUUAUUGAAUUGAAACAUCGAAGACAUAAGAAAGAUUACACCUAAAACGCCAAAGAAGUCCACUUUGAAUUCUGCACAGAAAGCUCCUCUUUCUUCUUCUCCUUGCUGCGGCAGAGUUGGUUUAGGGUUUUGGGAUGGUUUUUGGAUGGUUAGGAAGGGAAUUAGGAUGGUAGGGGGUGCGGCAAGGUGUGUGGGUGGUGUAUGGAGGUGUAUAAUGGUGGCUGGAAUGAAGGAGAGUUUGCGGCAAGGUGUUGGAUGUGGCUGGAAUGAAUGGUGGCUGCGGCAAGGUGGGGGAAGGGAUUUUUUGCGAUUUCUGAUUUGUAGAAUGGGGAUCUGUGCGGCUAGGGUGUAGAAAUUAUAUAUAUAGGCACUUAAAACCCUAGCAAUUCAGAUUAGAAACAAUGGGCUAGGGUUAAGGUUUGUAAAAUAGGGCUUUUUGGAUGGAAAGGUGCGGCAUAGGCUUAGGGAUUUCCAAUCAGAUUUUUGCAUGUGAACAAGGCCUAGGUGCGGCUGAAACAAUGGGCUAGGGUUAGGGUUUAGGUACGGCAUAGGUCCAAGAAGUUAAGGAUGGGUCAUCCAAAAGCCCAAAACCAAGAAUAGAAACUCUCGAAAAUGGAAACCUCCAAGAAUAGAAACUUCCAACUUUAGAAACUUUGGUUGCCAAUUCCGAUUUAGGAAAGAUCAACCCAAAAUGGAAACUUUUAGGCUUAGCUUUUCCUACUUCAAGUAGGAAACCUCAAAUCUUCAACUCUUCAAUUUCAUCCCAACCUUGCGUUCCAAGCAUGUCCUUUUCAAUUCAAGCUCACUUUUGCUCCAAAAGCUCCAAAUUGCAUCAUUUCAUGUAAUACGUCCGCUAAACCUGAAAACACAUGAAAGUAGCUUAAAAGACUACUUUAACUAAGAAAACAUAACAAAAUGCAUAAGAACUAGCUAACUAAGGCGCAUAAAUAUGCUCCUAUCAAAUUCCCCCACACUUAGCUUUUGCUAGUCCUCGAGCAAAACAAACAAAAGAAAGAAACAAAACGAAACAAACAACCAAAACAAAACCUAAACCUUCCAACGUUUGCCUCAGGGAUUUCCAAUGCACAUGACAUGUUAAAGAAUUGUUAUCCCACAGAUUUGAGUCAUCUUUACACUUAAGCACAUACUUAAUUAAAGUCACCACUUACUAGUUCACAAGUUAACCAAUUAAAACAAUGCUUUUGAAUGUAGUAACAUGCCUUAGAGAAUUCCCUCAAUUCCUUACAAGAUAUACACUCUAAUUUUCACUCAGAUUUUCUAACUACACACCCUACACUAGUUAUAUGUGAGAAGAUUGAUGUAGAUAUGAAAACGAAUGCUCACAUAUAUGUAUCAACAAAGAAAGCAAUUUCUAGAGUUAAGAAGCAUGUUUAGAUAUGAUCUCAUGAAUGGAAUGCUACUACUUAGAUGCGAGAACCAGUGACACCAUAUGCUCAUACCAAAUUCAAACUCCACAAAUUGAAACACAUAACACUCAAGAUAGAAGUUAAGGGUUGUAACGGGGCUUGGGGUGUUUGGUUAACAAGGAAAGGAUAAGGGAAAACAAACGUUCUUCAAGCAAUAGUAAGCAAAGCAAUGAAAUUGAGACUUAGAAUUCACUUAGAUUGCAGAAAAUUAACUUUAAAAACACAAGGGGAAGAUUUUAAACAACUCCUUAGGGCCGAAUUCAUUGUUUUUGGACCCUUACUUCAACAAACAAUACUUUGGAACUCUUUUUCUCAACUUUUUUUCAACUUUUUUUUUUUCUUUUUCUUUUUCACAAUUUUUUUUUUCUUUUUCUUUUCUUUUGCCGUGCCUAUGGCAACACAAUUCCUCAUGAAAAACACUUCCCCCACACUUGUUUUCUGCCAACAUAUAAAUCAAAAGGAAUUCAAUUUGAAUCAUGCUUUACUAUGCUUUAAGAACAAGGGUAUGGAUGGUCCUAAUCUAGGCUAGGUGAGGAUAAUGUGGUUAACAAAAACGAUAGGCUAAACAAGGCUCAACGGGGUUAAAACCUACAAAAACAUAAUGACAUAGGGGAUUCAUGGCUUUUUGGCUAAGGUGGUGGUCACUACACAACUUCAUCUUGAAUAUGUGUUAUGCAAAUCAAUAACAUGCUUUGAAUGAAAUGGGCAUGAGUUCUAGCAUUUGGAACUAAAUGAUGAAACGCCUUCUAAGUAGCAACC